UGAACCCGAGAACUGAAGGCGGUUGUCGUCGGUACCAAUCCAUGUGUUAUGAAAGCAAAGAAUCUUUUUUUAUUAUUAUGUACCGUGUGCGAGAAGAACCCACUGACAAUGUUCUCCGGCUGAGAACCGCGCUCUUCCCACGCGUGUCCUACAACAAGGACUCGGUUCGGGAUCCGGGAAUUGUCAUGGAGUCUGUUCUAACAUUCAGCGGUCUAGAGACCUGAUCACAAGCAGUGAAAACAGGCUGAAGAGUUCUCCAUCGUCCAGAGCUUUAGAUUUUUCAUUAAUAAGCAAUGAAGGGACGAGCUCUUUUCAUUGUGAACCUCACCUCAUCUCUAAUGUCCUAAUAGCUUACUUCCUUUCUCCACAGUCGGUCAAGAAAAACAGACUCCCGGCGACCCAGGCGUCGCUUCCUCCAGAGCAAGAGCAGAAGCACGCAUCUUUCCUCCCGCACCGCUGGAAGAGCCGGCCUGUGAUCCACCUCCUUCACGGCCGCCGGACAAGCUGCUUCUGGAGGCUCCCAGUCCCUCUUACACGCGCAGGGGCGGGCCCGGUGCUCGACAUUGUCUCAGCUUGAUCCGAGCGCUCGGUGCGGAGCCGCCGGCGAGAUCUUCUCGUCAAUGAACAACUUUCACCUCAGGAACGGCUUCUCGCCAGCCCGAAGAAAGAUGGGGCCUGGAAACGGACACAUAUACUUUCAGUUUCGACGCUUCUGUGACCGCUGUGUCUGCAGGUGAGAAAUCGUUAGCUCAUGAACUGGCUCAUGAAACCAGUUGACAAAUGUAAACAGAAUGCAGAAGGAGGGGUCAGGGUCAGUCUCAAUAGAAAGAAGAGCUAAAACUAUGGAACAACAACUCUUUCUCCUCCUCUUGCCCAUUGUAGGACAGUCAGCUUUACGGUUUCCUCUUUCCGCUCUUGAGCGUGGAAUUAACCUCCGCUCGUUCCUUCGCGUCUCGGGGUCUCACUGCCGAGGCCACAGCGGCUGGAGUGGGAGGGGCGGGCGUGCGAGUCCAGAGCAGAGUGCAGGCUUGCUGGGACAAGAGCUCGGGGCUCAACGGGACGGCCGGGGU